rnacentral:rRNA from 1 species
GAUGAACGCUGGCGGCGUGCCUAAUACAUGCAAGUCGAGCGAACAGAUGAGGAGCUUGCUCCUCUGACGUUAGCGGCGGACGGGUGAGUAACACGUGGAUAACCUACCUAUAAGACUGGGAUAACUUCGGGAAACCGGAGCUAAUACCGGAUAAUAUAUUGAACCGCAUGGUUCAAUAGUGGAAGACGGUUUUGCUGUCACUUAUAGAUGGAUCCGCGCCGCAUUAGCUAGUUGGUAAGGUAACGGCUUACCAAGGCAACGAUGCGUGGCCGACCUGAGAGGGUGAUCGGCCACACUGGAACUGAGACACGGUCCAGACUCCUACGGGAGGCAGCAGUAGGGAAUCUUCCGCAAUGGGCGAAAGCCUGACGGAGCAACGCCGCGUGAGUGAUGAAGGUCUUCGGAUCGUAAAACUCUGUUAUUAGGGAAGAACAAAUGUGUAAGUAACUAUGCACGUCUUGACGGUACCUAAUCAGAAAGCCACGGCUAACUACGUG